rfam:Streptococcus equi subsp. zooepidemicus H70, complete genome
AUAAUUAACUAUACUUAAUUAAUUAAAUAAUAGAUCCUAAGGAGAUAACUGAUGAAAAAGAAACUUAGCCUCGCCUUGAGUGCUUUUUUGGCUGUU